ACGCGAGCUGGGUUCAGAACGUCGUGAGACAGUUCGGUCCCUAUCCGUCGCAGGCGUAGGAAAUUUGAGAAGACCUGUCCUUAGUACGAGAGGACCGGGAUGGACGUACCGCUGGUGUACCAGUUGUCCUGCCAAGGGCAUGGCUGGGUAGCUAUGUACGGAAUGGAUAAGCGCUGAAAGAAUCUAAGCGCGAAGCCAACUUCAAGAUAAGAUUUCCCACCGCAAGGGUAAGACCCCA
rnacentral:rRNA from 1 species